UGUAGUUUUGAUAAGAUUUCUUAUGUAAUAUUUUUUUUUUGGUGUGUUGAUCGUUAAACCCCAUGUCUGGAGUCACUUGUAGUCACUGAAUUGUCCAGUUAGCUAUUUGCAAUAUAUAUCUGGUCAAUCCAAUGAGGGGCUGAUGUGAUGAAGCAAGCUAGGAUCUUUUCACUUCCCCUCUUGUUUUGCCAUCUUCCUCCUUAAAUUCAUUUUUUUCAUUUUCGACUAGUUAUCAUUAACAUACAUGAGAAUAAUCCGCAUUUUCAUAAAAGAGAAGGUUGGCCCUGAGUUUUAAAGAAUAUAACACCAGAGCUAAUUUUGUGCUUAGUUUUAUGUAUAUAAUUUAUUUUACAAUUUAUUUUCACUAGUUAAUAUCUUCCAUCAUAGGGUGAAGACAGUAAUUGUUUCGUCACUUAUAUUCUACUGUUGUCUUAUAAACAAAUAUAAAUUCUUUAAUAAUUAUAAACAUUUGGAGGAACAACUAAUAGUAUUCUUGAAGGAUUUAUUUGGCUCUAUUCAUAAACAUGUUAGCAAAGGCUGAUCUUAAUUAAUUCCAAAGAAAUUACCAAUUUUGUUCAAAGUAUUGUUUGCAUAACUAUAUAUGUUAAUUUCAUCAGUUGAACAAAUAAUUCGGCCUAACUCUUAUGGUAGAAGAAACUGUUAAAAAGGUGCAAUUGUUCAAUGUAUGCAGUUAAUUUAAUGAGUUAAGUUUUAAUUGUAAUUUCUGUAAAUUAAACAUCAAACAAUGUGUAGUUUCAGUGCCUAUUAUUGUGAUGAUAUAUAAGGGCCCAAUUUUUGGUCCCAAGAUAGUAAGUCCAUGGCCGAAUUUCAGACAAGAAAUCUGUGUUGGUUAGAACAAUAACAAUGCAACAACUUAACCGUGAAAUAAGUGUUACACCAAUAAGCCGUAUGUUAAAGUAAUGACUGUGUCUGUUCAAUUUAUUUGAAAGACUGUAAAAUGUGUGGUUAGGUUUUUACUGCUCAUAGAUGUUCAACAGUAAUCUAUUGUAGCAGUAUGUUGAUGUUUGCCUGCAAGCUAUUAAAGAGGCUUGUCGAAAGUUAAACAAUAGUGAACUGGCCAAAUAACUGUGUAAUAUUGAGGGGUUAUGAACAGUGAAAGUAAAGAACUGUGAAACGCAAAUGUGCACCUGUCAACUACAUCAUUUAAAGUAGUCAGUGUUGAACUUCUGCCCCCAUUUUUCAUCCAGUAUACCAACGCAGUAUGUUGACACAGAGGACAAUCAACCAAGAAAUAAAGCAGGCAAAUGUCGCAGUCUCCUUUACAGAUGAACAGCACUUUCCUAAAACUCUCCCAAUAAACUGAAGUCAAUCAUUUGCCUUCCCCACUACAAUCCUUACAUGCUCAUUGCAUUCCAUGUCACUUUUCAAUAUUAUGCCCAGAUAUUUAAACACCACCUGACUGAGUCAAGUAACACAGCACUAAUGCUGUAUUCGAACAUUAUGGGAUUGUUUUCCAUACUCACUUACAUUUUUCUACAUUUAGAGCUAGCUGCCACACUUCCUUGGGGCACUCCUCAUGAUACCCUUGUCUCUGCUUGCAAGACAAUGUACUGGGUCCUAUUACUUAAGAAAUCUUUGAUCCACUAAAAGCCAGUAACAGGGAUAAUGAAUGUAUACAAAGGAGGUCAGUAUGCACUGUGUCAGGUUUGUUUGACCUAGGGAAGAGGGUGCUGAGAAACCUGAAUUGUCAGAUGCUUGAAAACAGAUGCCAUCUGCCCCACAAAAUCCUAAUAGCAAAGUUUUGAGAACCAGUCUUAAGCGAAGAAUCUAGGAUAUGCUGUUACUAUCCAUGUAUUGCCCUGGUAGGUGCUAGUAAGAGAAAUCUAGUCUAAUUACACCAGACACAGAAGCAUUUAAUCAGUCUUUCUUUGUGCACUCCAUUCACAAAUGAUAUGGAAAGAAAUACUAAUAUCUGGUACAAUUGCAAAUGCACUUCAUCAUACACUUAAUAGUUACAAUAAAAUAAUUUCUAUAAUUAUCAAAUCAAGAAGAGUAACAAAAGCUACAGUUUUUUGUAAGUAUACUUUACAGGAAUAUCUUGCACUGGGUUCUUCUGUCUGUUGAUGUAUAACAUGAGUCAUUCCAUUUCACUGAAAGCUCUUCUUCUUCUUCAUGAGGUUUGCAAAGCAUUGUGUAUGAAUGAAUAAUAAAGAACAUUAUGGUAGACCUCUCAUAUCCAUUUUGAUAAUCAUUUACAAUAUUAGUAAAAUGUUUUUUAAAGUUGUUACUGACAUAACAUAUUCAGAAUGCAUAAAUCUGAAGACUGAUUUGAACAGCACAGCACUGUGUGGUCAGCGACGUAAAAGAUAUAUGUUUGUGGGGUCACAUGUGCACACCAAUAUUCACUGUAAUUAUUUAAUGGACAAAUACAUGCAUCAUUCAUUUGUCCUUCAUUCAUUCAUUCAUUCAUCCAUCCAUCCAUCCAUCCAUCCAUCCAUCCAUCCAUCCAUCCAUCAUGUUCCAUAGAUUCCAACAAGAAAGUAGAUCUCUCUGGGAUGCGGAAGGAGUCAAGAUAUACAGCUGUUUCAGAUUUCCAAAUAAGAAUGUGAUUGUUUCAUGUGAGCAUACCAUAAAGAGUGAAACCACCCAAACAUAAUAUCUUUUUGGAAGAAAGAGCCACUGCAGAAGAAGUUAGGAGGAAGAAGACAUUGUUGUUGUCCAUAAGUUAAUUAGGCUGAAAUUAAUGCUCAGCUAAUGACAUCAUUUGUAUGUGCACCAUUCAGAUUUUAUGUGCAAAAUCAUGCAAAAAAAACACGUUUUUCUGGGAAGUUUUGAAGCACGUCUCUUCUACACUUUAAACUUGUAUGAACUGGAUCAAAUUUUACACUAAGGUGAGCCAUAAUGGACCGUGAAGUAGAUGUCAGGUUUCGACAAUGGUUGGUGAUGGAGUUCCUCUUCAAGACUGGCAUGACUCUGCCACUUCGAUUCACAGGAAGUUGCUCCCUUUUUAUGGGAAGGGCACAGUGGAUCGCAGCAGUAUCUAGCAGUGGGUGCAGAGGUUUAAAGAAGGUGAUUUCUCUCCAUUGGACAAUCCACGAUGCGGUAGACCAUUGACGGCAGUGAGUGAUGUGAAUAAGAAGGCCAUUGAUCAAUCAUCCAAAAUGACAUAUGUGUGAUGACAUGCCAUCAAGACCAUGUUCCAUCAAGACCCACAGACCACAGCAUCAGAGUACACCAUAACAAUGCCAAAUCCCCAUACAGCCCUUAUGACACAGGAGAAUGGGUUGGAAAAUUGUUCCUCAUCCGCCCUGCAGCCCAGGCUUGGCUCCGUCUGAAUUUUACCUCUUUGGUCAUCUGAAGACCCACUUGCAUGGUGAAAAAUUUGAUAGUGAGAAAGACCUUAUUUCUUGUGUCAAGCGAUGGUGUAAAAGACAAUUCCUAGAAUUUUACCAAAGUGCAUUUACAUUAUGGAAAGAACAUUGGGCCAGAAGUGUCACAACUUAUGGAGGCUACAUUGAGUAGGCUCAAUGUGUAGCUAAAUGUUGCAAGUAUGUUCACAAAAAAUUUCAUUCUCCUCCUGCAGCAAAACAUAAAAAAAUUAGAGCUGACUAUGCAAAACUUUUUGAACGCCCUUUGUAACAUAUAAAAUUUGUUCUUAUGUGAAUAUAAUGUACAGAAAGCAGUUUAAAGU